GAAACCAAGUGUCUGAACUACCUUGCUUACUUAUCUUUUUAGAGGGCAGACUUAUUGGUAAUGGCUUUUUUUUUUCUUGUUUUUGCUUUAUUUUUGUACCUCCACAUUCCCUUAGGUGGGGAAUUUCAACAGUGGGGUCUUCUCUCACAUUCAGGCCUUGGCACACAAGUCUGUCUUCAGGACAGCUGAUCCAUUUUACUUACAAAUUCAGAAAGUAAACAUUGGCAGUAUGGAUCUGGUUACUUCAUGGUAACUGCUCUAGAAUUUACGCCAAGGCCAUCUCUUUUGCCUCACUGUUCAGUGACCGGAGUAAAGCAUGGGGCCACUGAAACUCCACUUUACAAUUGGGCUUCUAAAUUUAAGGAAAAAUUUUUUUGAUUUAACCACAACUGAUUCCAAAGUUCAUCUUAUUCUAAAUUAGGCCCACUGAGCCUGUGAUGUUUUGGAAUAUAUGAUUAGUCCACUUGGUUCACUGGAUGUUACCUAUCAUGUUAUGUAGAGAAACAGCCAUAACUAUUGGUCACGAUGUCGUCCUCCGAAUUGGGAAUGGCUCUGUUGUUGGAAACAAAGUAUUUGUAAACACGUUGAUCAAAGCGGUGUGCUUUGGCCUUUCUGGGAAUCACUGAUUAUGUUUGAAAACUUCCUUUAAUUGUAUUUGUAAUAAGCUAUUUUCCCUUUUUAUUUCUCUCCCAUGCUUCCUUGCUUUGCACUGUGGUCGCAUGCCAUCUGCUGGUUAACCCAUGAUGGCUUGCUGCUCUGAUAUUCACCAUGCCAAAUACCACUUCUAUUACCAUAAUGCUACACCCUCCUGUUCAUUGCUCCCAUGGUUCCCCUCCUGAAAGUACCCAUGAUGCACAGCGCUACGUCCGCCACUGUCUCUGCAGCAACAACUCCUGCAACAAGUGUCCCCUUCGCAGCAACAGCCACAGCCAAUCAGAUAAUUCUGAAAUAAUCAACAGAAAUGGAAUGGAAUGCCAAGAAUCUGCAUUGAGAAUAACUAAACAUUGUUACUGUACAUACUAUCCCCUUUGCUCCUCAAUAGAAUUGCCACAAACUGCAUGCUAAAUUUAGUUCUUCCGGACAGACCGCAACCCUAAGGCUAGUUCUGCUAUGUCAUAUACGAGUAUUAAAUAUGGUAUGCUUAGUAUAUUCCAGCCUAAGAUAGUUAACUACCUGAGACCAGCUGCGAUGUUCAAAGACAUACAGGAUGAGGUUUUCUUUUACAGGGUUCUGAGCGUAGUUUCUGUCCCAGGAAUAUUGUCUUAUCUCCAUAACUAUAGCCGAUGCAGAAAGCCCACCCAGUAUACACAUUUCGACUCAGAAUACUUCAAAUUUAGCAAUAAGCAGUUAGCUUUAGUUUAAGUACCUAUUCCAAGGGCAGGUUCGAUUCUAAUUCCAAUCACCACCAUUUCAUUUCCUGACUGGAUCAUAAGGGUAUGAUUUCACUUCCUGAGGAGACGGACACUCGAAGCAGGAGACGGGAAGUGAAGUA
rnacentral:lncRNA from 1 species